CGCGUGAGUGAAGAAGGGUUUCGGCUCUGUAAAGCUCUGUUGUUGGUGAAGAAGGACAGGGGUAGUAACUGACCUUUGUUUGACGGUAAUCAAUUAGAAAGUCACGGCUAACUACGUGCCAGCAGCCGCGGUAAU
rnacentral:rRNA from 1 species